CAACGUAGGUAACCUGCCCCGGAGCGGGGGAUAACAUUUGGAAACAGAUGCUAAUACCGCAUAACAACAAAAGCCACAUGGCUUUUGUUUGAAAGAUGGCUUUGGCUAUCACUCUGGGAUGGACCUGCGGUGCAUUAGCUAGUUGGUAAGGUAACGGCUUACCAAGGCGAUGAUGCAUAGCCGAGUUGAGAGACUGAUCGGCCACAAUGGAACUGAGACACGGUCCAUACUCCUACGGGAGGCAGCAG
rnacentral:rRNA from 1 species